UACGUAGGGGGCAAGCGUUGUCCGGAUUUAUUGGGCGUAAAGAGCGUGUAGGCGGCCAGACAGGUCCGUUGUGAAAACUCGAGGCUCAACCUCGAGACGCCGAUGGAAACCGUCUGGCUAGAGUCCGGAAGAGGAGAGUGGAAUUCCUGGUGUAGCGGUGGAAAUGCGCAGAUAUCAGGAAGAACACCCGUGGCGAAGGCGGCUCUCUGGUACGUGACUGACGCUGAGACGCGAAAGCGUGGGAGCAACAG
rnacentral:rRNA from 1 species